rnacentral:rRNA from 1 species
GAGUUUGAUCCUGGCUCAGAACGAACGCUGGCGGCGUGCUUAACACAUGCAAGUCAGGGAGAAAGUCUCUUCGGGGAUGAUUAAACCGGCGCACGGGUGAGUAACACGUGAGUGACCUGCCUUUUAGACUGGAACAACUUACCGAAAGGUGAGCUAAUGCCGGAUGAGUUAUAUAAGUGCAUGUUUAUAUAGGAAAAGUUGGGGAGACCUGACGCUGAAAGAUGGACUCGCGUCCCAUUAGCUAGUUGGUAGGGUAAUGGCCUACCAAGGCGACGAUGGGUAGCCGGCCUGAGAGGGUGGCCGGCCACACUGGGACUGAGACACGGCCCAGACUCCUACGGGAGGCAGCAGUGGGGAAUUUUGCGCAAUGCUCGUAAGAGUGACGCAGCGACGCCGCGUGAAUGACGAAGGCCUUCGGGUCGUAAAGUUCUUUCGACAGGGAAGAAAAUGCCUAUAAGUAACUGUGUAUGUAUUGACGGUACCUGUAUAAGCAGCCCCGGCUAACUCCGUGCCAGCAGCCGCGGUAAUACGGAGGGGGCGAGCGUUGUUCGGAGUGACUGGGCGUAAAGAGCACGUAGGCGGUGUUGUAAGUCAUUAGUCAAAGACUAGAGCUCAACUUUAGUAAGGCUAGUGAUACUAUAAUACUAGAGUAUCAGAGAGGAUUGCAGAAUUCCUGGUGUAGCGGUGAAAUGCGUAAAUAUCAGGAGGAAUACCGUUAGCGAAGGCGGCAAUC